rnacentral:lncRNA from 1 species
CUCAGUUGCUGUGCUUCUCACCAGUAUGGAUAACUCUAGUGUCAGUUAAUAGCCCUCCCUUGUUGACAUUGGGUGGACUGUGAAUGAACUCUAAGGGUUUUUAGACUUAGUUGGGACCGAUGGAUUUGUGAAGGGAAGCAAGUCUUGUUUGGGCCACAAGGUCUCUAAAAUGUUCUUUUAAAAUUUCUUCUGUGGAUUUUGAGCUCUACCAAAAGAUCUUGAGACUGUCAUAAAGCACCAAACUAGGCCUAAUGAAGACUAAUAUGCAGCAUGUGAAUGACCACCCAAAGUAUCCUCCAUAAAUAUUUGUUGGAUUUGUUAUUUACUAAAUAAUUAAAUAUCUCCAAAAGUGCAUAUAACAAAAAUGUAGAAACACACUGAUAUCAUUAGGUAGUUGAAACAAACAUAUGUACCUGUGACAUAGAAGAAUAUUUUAGACAUCAAGACUUAUGUGAAAUUUGUGGUCUUUGUAGAAGAAUUGAGACCUGGGGAUAGCACCCAAGAAGAGGGAAGAUAUGGGUUGACAACUGAGACAUUUCCUGGAUUGUUCAUAUCAUGUCACAGCUGGACUGAGCCUUAGAAGUGUUAUCUUUCCUUUUGACCUUCAUGGGAAUGAAGAUUCUGAAAGAUGGUGGUGCAGAGCGGAGAUGAGAGCUCAGUGUACUGGGUUGCUAUGGGUGAUGACGAGGAAAGAUUCUCUGAAAGUGAAAAUGAGGACCUCUCUCACGCUGGCCAGGGAACCAUCAUACUGUCAUCACAGCUGGAUAUGACAGGUUCCAGGAGUUUAGAAAUUGUUCUUGACAUGGUGGGAAGCAUUUUCAUGUCCUCGCACCAGGAAUACGUCAUUUCCUAUGUAAGUAGAGCCACCCCCCUCCCCCCUCCGCCCCAGCCCUUUCUCUCUGGUUACCACGGCUUCUUUUUCCCCAUGGUGCUCAUCACCACAUAG